GGGGUUGUAGCUCAGUUGGUAGAGCAUUUACCUUGCAUGUGUGAGGCACUGGGUUCAAUCCUCAGCACCA
rnacentral:tRNA from 1 species